rnacentral:rRNA from 1 species
UACGUAGGGGGCAAGCGUUGUCCGGAUUUAUUGGGCGUAAAGAGCGUGUAGGCGGCCACACAGGUCUGCUGUGAAAACUCGAGGCUCAACCUCGAGCUGUCGGUGGAAACCGUGUGGCUAGAGUCCGGAAGAGGAGAGUGGAAGUUCCCGGUGUAGCGGUGAAAUGCGCAGAGUAUCGGGAAGAACACCCGUGGCGAAGGCGGCUCUCUGGGACGGUACUGACGCUGAGACGCGAAAGCGUGGGGAGCGAACGAGG